GGGUUCGUUUAGGGAGCCAUCUGUCCUGUUUGGUGUAAGAUUAAGAACUCCUCCAUCUGAUGUCUCCAGUCUUGAUUAGAUUCUGGAUUAUAUCUGAAAGAGAACACAAAGUUCAGGACAAAGAUUAUGGUUUUUUUUUUCAGUUAGGGUGUUGUUUAAAACUAAUCAUCACUCUAAUAUUUGUUGCACAGUUGCUUCACAAAAUAUCGGCUCAUAGCAGUCUUUUCACUGCAGAUCAUAGAGAAUGAACAUGUGCAUUAUGUAACUACAUCUUAAGGAUGAACAACAUUUGUAAAGCAGGCCUACAUCUAAUGCAACUUUAUCUUCUGUUACAAAGCGGCUGAAGAGGAUUAUGCUGCUGUUGCCACAGAAACUUAGUGACCAGUGGAAAGAGAGAGUAGAGAGGGGUGGGGAGUCCACGAAGAGAGUAGAAGCAGGCUGAUUCAAUCAGACGUACAGACAACCUGUCGCACACCCACAAAGCAGACAGGGUUUUUUUUUUUUUAAUUUGAGGUGACACAGAUUUUGAAAAGAGUCCACUCAGUCUGCCACCAUGCUGCACCCUUUAAUCAUCGGCAUUGUGACCGUAAACACUUCUCUCACCGUUGUCUAUUGGACCUUCCUCCUGGGAGAUGCCUACUUCAGGUGGCUGCUGGAGCCAGAAGACAAACCCAAGAAGGUGGUCACCCCAGCCUGAGGGAGUCACAGUCAGUAUGGACAUACUUGGCUGAGUGACUGGGUGUUAUUUUUGCGUAGGACUAGUUCAGCUUGUAGUGCUUUCUGUGGAGUCUGAUUUUGCAGUCAAUUUGCUUCUUGUUUCACCCGAAGAAGAUCUGGAAUCCCACUGUGAACUUUAUAAUUAACUGAACUGAAUGAAUCCCGCAAGUGAAUGAGAAAGGAAUCCUUCUCACAGAGCUGUCUGUGUACAACACACGCUAAUUUGGAAGUCCUUUCAUGCACAAGUCAAAGAAAAAAGCUGAGGAGCCGCUUUGAAGUCUUGAUUACAAGACUGGAUUCUUGGCCCCAAACCAGUGGAGGAUGAUUCAGAGGAAGCAAAAGCAGAACUAGAAGCAGAGCGCCGACAGAGUAUUCCCAGUGAGCUGAUGGGGAAAGACAUGCUGAGGAUGGAGAAGGACAGGCCACUGCCCGGUUUCUACCAGGGUGAAGGAGGCUGCCGCCGUCCAUCCACCCCUCCUCCACUGAGAAGUGCCAUCACUUCGUCAUACACUGGAGAAAAAAGGAUAUCCGCUCACAGUGUCACCUUCGCCUGCCCUGCGACCCCUUAUGUCACCUCCCUCUGAGUUUUUGUCACAAAAGUCAUUUAGAUACAUUUUUGUCUCAUCUCUCAUUUCAGUGCAGUAAUCAAUGUUGUCUCUUUGCUGUAGUAAUGCUUAAGCUAAAGAUAUCUUUGUUUUCUAUAAAAACAAAUGUUGUACUCAUUUUACAAGAAAAUGCUUCCUGUCGUCACUUAUUAAAAAAGUUAGUGUAAAAAAGUUCCACAUUGUCAAUAAUUUCAUUUUAUUGCACUAUAUUAUUAUUCGUGGUCCAAUUGCUCAUACUACAAAAUGUAAAUUAUGCACUAUGUAAACUUCAGUGAUGUUAAUAUGACCUGCAAAAAGGACAUUUUAUUUUGAUAACUGACAUCAAAGCUAAAAAAAAUAGUUUGACUUGAAAAUACCUCUCAAUGAAAAUGUCAAAUUCCCCCCUAAGUGUUGUUAAAUUGCACAUAAAUUUCCAUUUCGGUGCAUCUUCCACUGUCAUGACUAUCAUUUUCAAAUUACUUCACACUUGUUGCUGUAAUGUUUUUCUGAAGAAAACACACAUCAGUUUUCCUGUUCUGGUGUUGGGACUAAGCUUCUCUCCAGUAAACAGCUGAAUU